AGACGAACCGUCCAAACGUUAUUCGGUAUCACUGGGCUUAGAGCGUGCGUAGGCGGCUUGGUAGGUGAGAUGUGAAAGCCCACGGCUCAACCGUGGAAUUGCGUUUCAAACCCCCAAGCUCGAGGAAGAUAGGGGUGAUGGGAACUUAUGGUGGAGCGGUGAAAUGCGUUGAUAUCAUAGGGAACACCGGUGGCGAAAGCGCAUCACUGGAUCUUUUCUGACGCUGAGGCACGAAAGCUAGGGUAGCGAACGGGAUUAGAAACCCGGGUAGUCC
rnacentral:rRNA from 1 species